AGUGAACGCUGGCGGUAGGCCUAACACAUGCAAGUCGAACGGCAGCACAGUAAGAGCUUGCUCUUACGGGUGGCGAGUGGCGGACGGGUGAGGAAUACAUCGGAAUCUACUUUUUCGUGGGGGAUAACGUAGGGAAACUUACGCUAAUACCGCAUACGACCUACGGGUGAAAGCAGGGGAUCUUCGGACCUUGCGCGAUUGAAUGAGCCGAUGUCGGAUUAGCUAGUUGGCGGGGUAAAGGCCCACCAAGGCGACGAUCCGUAGCUGGUCUGAGAGGAUGAUCAGCCACACGGGAACUGAGACACGGUCCAAGCUCCUACGGGAGGCAGCAGUGGGGAAUAUUAGACAAUGGGCGCAAGCCUGAUCCUGUCAUACCGCGUGGGUGAAGAAGGCCUUCGGGUUGUAAAGCCCUUUUGUUGGGAAAGAAAAGCAGCAGGUUAAUACCCCGCUGUUCUGACAGUACCCAAAGAAUAAGCACCGGCUAACUUCGUG
rnacentral:rRNA from 1 species